rnacentral:misc_RNA from 1 species
GUGAAUCAUCGAAUUUUUGAACGCACAUUGCACUCUCUGGUAUUCCGGAGAGUAUGCCUGUUUGAGGGUCAGUUUAAAUUUCAAUCGGUGUGGUUGCUGCCUUUUGUGGUGACGCACCGGUUGUGGGUCGUCUUGCCUUCGGUUAAGUGACCUACAAUUUUGUAUGAUUUUUUCGUAAGUAUUUAAAUGAUUUUACGUACGUUUGCGAUAUUGAA